CAUGUUGAAACACCGGUUCCCAUACGAUCUUCGAAGUUAUGCCACAUUGAUCAUUGUCAGUACCUAGAUGGAUAACCAAUUGGGAAUACAAGGUACUGUAAG